UCUGACCGGUGCAAAGGUAGCGUAAUCACUUGUCUUUUAAAUAAAGACUUGUAUGAACGGCUAAAUGAGGAUAAACCUGUCUCCUAUGACUAAUCAGUGAAACUGAUCUCCCAGUACAAAAGCUGGAAUAACAACAUAAGACGAGAAGACCCUGUGGAGCUUUAAACUAAGUACUAAUAAUAAACCAGCUAGUAUAAAGUUUUAAGUUGGGGCGACUUCGGAAUAAAACAAAACCUCCGAGCACAGAAUCACUACUUCUUACCAAGGCCAACAAGCCAAAAACAAACCGACCCAGUCCACACUGAUCAACGAACCAAGUUACCCCAGGGAUAACAGCGCUAUCUUCUUCAAGAGUCCCUAUCGACAAGAAGGUUUACGACCUCGAUGUUGGAUCAGGACACCCAAAUGGUGCAGCCGCUAUUAAAGGUUCGUUUGUUCAACGAUUAACAGUCCUACGUGAUCUG
rnacentral:rRNA from 1 species